AUUCUACUGAUAACUGCCAUCCAAACAAAUCUGGGAAAACUGUGUGGGUAAGGGUCCCAGCCUUGCUAGCCCCUUCGGGUGCAAGGACCGUGUCAGCGUACACCCGGUCUCCAACAGGCAAGGUGGGGGCGACUGGGCCUGGGCUCACCAUUGGGAGUGAGCCAACCCGAGAGAACUGGCAGACCCACCGAAGAGGGCCGAGGUCAGAGCGGCACCGCGCCCGGCGGUUGCAAAUGAAGAACUGGCAAGAGCCGAGGACUGCAGUGGAGCAUUGGCCUGCCACGGGGGAAGCUGUGGUCUGUGGCGAGG